UGUGCAUCUCACCCGCGCAAAG
rnacentral:miRNA from 8 species